CGGCAAUAGAGUAGCAGGGUGGUGUCUCCUGCGCCCGUCUUGCGACGGGUUCUUCGCAGCCACGG
rnacentral:ncRNA from 1 species